GGAGGGGGGCUAGCGUUGUUCGGAAUUACUGGGCGUAAAGGGGGGCACGUAGGCGGGGCCAGCCAGUCAGGGCGUGAAAGCCCCGGGCUUAACCUGGGAACUGCGUUUGAUACUGCUGGUCUUGAGUCCGGGAGAGGGUAGUGGAAUUCCCAGUGUAGAGGUGAAAUUCGUAGAUAUUGGGAAGAACACCGGUGGCGAAGGCGGCUACCUGGACCGGUACUGACGCUAAGGUGCGAAAGCGUGGGGAGCAAACAGGAUUAGAUACCCUGGUAGUCCACGCCGUAAACGAUGAGUGCUAGAUGUCGGGAGGCUUAGCCUUUCGGUGUCGCAGCUAACGCGUUAAGCACUCCGCCUGGGGAGUACGGCCGCAAGGUUA
rnacentral:rRNA from 1 species